rnacentral:lncRNA from 1 species
UUAAAAGAUUGUUAUUGAUAGAUUCUCAGCACUAGUAAAACAUUACAAAAACAAGUAUGAAAAGAAAUAUAUAACAAUGAAUCAAUCAUGUUGAACAUAAUACGAAAGAGAACAAUAGCAAACAUCACAUAAUAUGAUAACCGAAGCAAGGAACAACAACUAAUUGAUAAAUAUGAAACCUAGACAAUGCUCGACUACCUACUAAUCUUACGCUAAUCAUCGAC